rnacentral:rRNA from 1 species
GACGAACGCUGGCGGCGUGCUUAACACAUGCAAGUCGAACGGAAAGGCCCUGCUUUUGUGGGGUGCUCGAGUGGCGAACGGGUGAGUAACACGUGAGUAACCUGCCCUUGACUUUGGGAUAACUUCAGGAAACUGGGGCUAAUACCGGAUAGGAGCUCCUGCUGCAUGGUGGGGGUUGGAAAGUUUCGGCGGUUGGGGAUGGACUCGCGGCUUAUCAGCUUGUUGGUGGGGUAGUGGCUUACCAAGGCUUUGACGGGUAGCCGGCCUGAGAGGGUGACCGGCCACACUGGAACUGAGACACGGUACAGACGCCUAAGGGAGGCAGAAGUAGGGAAUCUUGCGCAAUGGGCGAAAGCCUGACGGAGCAACGCCGCGUGAGGGAUGAAGGUCUUCGGAGCGUAAAACUCUGUUAGUAGGGAAGAACAUAUGUGUAAGUAACUGUGCACAUCUUGACGGUACCUAAUCAGAAAGCCAAGGCUAACUACGUG